AUUGUUAUUUUGUACUGCAGAGAAGAAACAAGGGGAAAAAGAGAAGCCCGUAGUUUUGAAAGGGGUAUCACUGCAGUCAGGUUUCAGUACAUUUUAUUAUCUAAUUGAUGGGCCCCUUCAGAGGCUUCCAGGUUCAGCUGUGGCCACCAUGACUACAAGCUGCUAAGAGCAACGGCCAUGUGGAGCACUGCAGGUUCCGUGACGAGGCGACUGGGACGAGUUGUGCCAACUCAUCCACGCGACCGGCCUCGCCGCCGAGCGCAGCGAUGAAGCGGCUACCCAAGCCGUGCUCCUCUCCCGCUUCUUCAAGUCCGAGAGGAUCAAGGUCUCCGACGAUGUCAGGUUCAGGUUGCUAUGACCGAGUCUCAGGCGUCGAAGUGUUGGCUACGAGGAGUGUGGCUGCACUCCGAUCGGUUUAGCCAGUCAACUUAAGGCAAAGCUGGUUAUCCUCUCUUCUUUAAUGAUGAUGCAUUGCCAGAUUCACCUACCUAUGGACUAUUAUCAAUCUGUUACAAUUUUGGUAAAAAUGACUACAAAGUUCAAUUAUUAGUUGAGAUCUGAAUUUUUUUUCAAUAAUAUUUGAUCCACAACAGAAGUAUGUUAUGUUUGUCUCAUAAUAUCUCAGUCUUUCUUUUGUCUACAUUUUUUUACCUCUGUUACAUCUGAGUUUAAUAAUCUUUGAUUCUGUUCUAAUUUCUUCAUCAGAUAUGAUUGUUGUUGAGUUGCAAAUUAAUGGCAUGGAAUAGUAGCGAAGAGUGCAGUGACACCCAUGGAUGGGCGCAUGCAGGGUAGGAUGGGAGCCAAGGAGCUGAUGGCCAUAUGGGGUUUGUCAGGUAUGGAACAGAAGCCAUUGAUCGUUUGCACAUCUUUAUGCAGUGCAAAUUCAGAGUGCCCAACAUAUCCAUCGUGGAAAUUACAUUACACUUCUGCCUGAAUUCUUUGAACCUUUGUCCAGAAACAGAAUGCACCAUGCUAACUAUUCGUUGUGCAUACCAUUUUGGAUCCUGUUGCUAAAUGUGCAGGUGGACACAUAGGAGUAUUUUCUCUGUGCUUGACCGAACAAAGCUGAUUUAUAUACCAAGAGUGAUACAACUCCGGUUAAUUUA